GAUGAACGCUAGCGGCAGGCCUAACACAUGCAAGUCGAGGGGCAUCGCGGUGCAGCAAUGCACUGGCGGCGACCGGCGUACGGGUGCGUAACGCGUAUGCAACCUACCAUUGAUUGGGGCAUAGCCCGAAGAAAUUCGGAUUAAUACUCCAUAAUAUUCAUUAAAGGCAUCUUUUAUGAAUUAAAGCUUUUGCGAUCAAUGAUGGGCAUGCGUGACAUUAGUUAGUUGGUGAGGUAACGGCUCACCAAGGCAUCGAUGGGUAUGGGGUCUUAAAGGAUGGUCCCACACACUGGCACUGAGACACGGGCCAGACUCCUACGGGAGCAGCAGUGAGGAAUAUUGGUCAAUGGGUGAGAGCCUGAACCAGCCAUCCCGCGUGCAGGAUGACGGUCCUAGUGAUUGUAAACUGCUUUUCUAUGAGAUGAAUAAGAAUUACGUGUAGUUCGAUGACCGUAUUAUAGGAAU
rnacentral:rRNA from 1 species